GACGAACGCUGGCGGCAGGCCUAACACAUGCAAGUCGAGCGAAGCCUUCGGGCUUAGCGGCGGACGGGUGAGUAACGCGUGGGAACGUGCCCUUUGGUACGGAAUAGCCCCGGGAAACUGGGAGUAAUACCGUAUGUGGUCGAGAGACGAAAGAUUUAUCGCCAAAGGAUCAGCCCGCGUUGGAUUAGGUAGUUGGUGGGGUAAUGGCCUACCAAGCCGACGAUCCAUAGCUGGUUUGAGAGGAUGAUCAGCCACACUGGGACUGAGACACGGCCCAGACUCCUACGGGAGGCAGCAGUGGGGAAUCUUAGACAAUGGGGGAAACCCUGAUCUAGCCAUGCCGCGUGAUCGAUGAAGGCCUUAGGGUUGUAAAGAUCUUUCAGUGGGGAAGAUAAUGACUGUACCCACAGAAGAAGCCCCGGCUAACUCUGUGCCAGCCGCCGCAGUAAGAC
rnacentral:rRNA from 1 species